UACGUAGGGUGCGAGCGUUGUCCGGAAUUAUUGGGCGUAAAGAGCUUGUAGGUGGUUUGUCGCGUCUGCUGUGAAAAUCCGAGGCUCAACCUCGGACUUGCAGUGGGUACGGGCAGACUAGAGUGUGGUAGGGGAGACUGGAAUUCCUGGUGUAGCGGUGAAAUGCGCAGAUAUCAGGAGGAACACCGAUGGCGAAGGCAGGUCUCUGGGCCACUACUGACG
rnacentral:rRNA from 1 species